CCUCUAGAGGGAAGCGCUUUCU
rnacentral:miRNA from 1 species